GUGGGGAAUAUUGGACAAUGGGCGCAAGCCUGAUCCAGCAAUGCCGCGUGAGUGAUGAAGGCCUUAGGGUUGUAAAGCUCUUUUACCCGGGAUGAUAAUGACAGUACCGGGAGAAUAAGCUCCGGCUAACUCCGUGCCAGCAGCCGCGGUAAUACGGAGGGAGCUAGCGUUGUUCGGAAUUACUGGGCGUAAAGCGCGCGUAGGCGGCUAUUCAAGUCAGGGGUGAAAGCCCGGGGCUCAACCCCGGAACUGCCUUUGAAACUAGGUAGCUAGAAUCUUGGAGAGGCGAGUGGAAUUCCGAGUGUAGAGGUGAAAUUCGUAGAUAUUCGGAAGAACACCAGUGGCGAAGGCGACUCGCUGGACAAGUAUUGACGCUGAGGUGCGAAAGCGUGGGGAGCAAACAGGAUUAGAAACCCUAGUAGUCC
rnacentral:rRNA from 1 species